CAAUAGCGUAUAUUAAAGUUGCUGCAGUUAAAAAGCUCGUAGUUGCAUUUCCGAGGCAAGGGAUUAGUCCGACCUUUGGUGGGUAUUUAAUCCUCUUGCCUCGUCCUUGAGUGGUGCUUCUUGGUAUUAAGUUAUCGAGGAGAUAGGCGCUCAUCGUUUACUGUGAGAAAAUUAGAGUGUUCAAAGCAGGCUUAUGCCGUUGAAUAUAUUAGCAUGGAAUAAUAAGAUAGGACCUCGGUACUAUUUUGUUGGUUUGAGAACCAAGGUAAUGAUGAAUAGGGACAGUUGGGGGUAUUCGUAUUCAGUUGUCAGAGGUGAAAUUCUUAGAUUUACGGAAGACGAACUACUGCGAAAGCAUUUACCAAGGAUGUUUUCAUUAA
rnacentral:rRNA from 1 species